rnacentral:lncRNA from 1 species
UUAACCCUUUUUUUAGUGACUAAAGGUGGAAACUAUUUGACAAAAAAAUAAAAUUACUAAUCGACAUUUUAGGGUUGGGAUUCAAAUUCAAACAAAUAAAUAUUGUAGGGGAUAAUGCAAAAAAAAUCGUUCGCUGUGGUAAUUAGCAGCUGAAAGAGAAGACUAGAGAAAAGAAACAAACAAUCGUUAGUUAUCGAUGGAGUUUGGCACUUCUCUAUAGCAAUGACAACUCAAAACCCGCUAUUCAAUUUCCGUUUCUGAAAACUACAAGCAACUCCUCUUAACCAGUAAGCUACAUUCAUUUCACUCACGAAAUGACAAUACUUGAACCCAACAACAUUUGCAAUACUGAGAACUAUACAUUUCCUAUUUUCUUCAACCCUAGUUUCGAUUUUGGAACUGGAGGAUUAUUUCUAGAACCUUCAAUUCCCGAUUCCUUUAUUCGUUUCAUUUCGUUGAGAAUUUCAGCAACUGCUUCUUCUGAAUCGAAUCUUCACCGCCGGCAACGGCGAAGGCUUCCGUGUUUUUUGUCGGUUAGUUUGCCUAGCAANNNN